rnacentral:misc_RNA from 1 species
UGCAACAUGACUUGAGGAUAGGUUGCUAUAUUUCGUGCCUGACGGGACGUGUUUGGGUAUACAUGAUGUUGUUCAUCUCAUGCGUUGCACAUUGCAUUGUGUGAUGAUGGUCUAAAUAGCUUGUAUGCCUGGGCAUUGUGUACGGUAAGGUGCAUGAGUGGUGCUUGGUGUGUGUCUGCAUGUCGGAUCCUUGUUUAGGCAGCGAAGGCAUGUCAUACACACCUUUUCAGUUGUUGGCUCAAGUGUCUCUUUGCCUUGACCUCCUUGCAUUUCUUGUUUUGUGUACCUCUAAUAAGGUAGUUGGUAGGCCCGAAUGUUCCUCAUUCUUACAUGCACUGAAACCCUAUGCGGUUGUAGUGCGAGUAAGACCAUGAAGCUUCCAUUGUGUUCCACAUCUCGCUUGCCUUCUUGUGUAAUGAGUUGUUGGCACAUUAUGUAUUGCUUGAUCACUUGGAUGCGGAAAGUGGAGUGGGUAUGAGGCAUCUUUGCCUCUAUUUGCCCUAAAAUUAAGCGUUCGUCGCUUCUUGCGGAUGACUGUUGUAUUUGUUUUGGUUUUAGCCAUUAGUGGCUUUAAUCUUGCACUAACAAC